rnacentral:rRNA from 1 species
UACGUAGGGUCCGAGCGUUGUCCGGAAUUAUUGGGCGUAAAGGGCUCGUAGGCGGUCCGUCACGUCGGGAGUGAAAACUCAGGGCUCAACCCUGAGCGUGCUUCCGAUACGGGCGGACUAGAGGUAUGCAGGGGAGACUGGAAUUCCUGGUGUAGCGGUGGAAUGCGCAGAUAUCAGGAGGAACACCGGUGGCGAAGGCGGGUCUCUGGGCAGUAACUGACGCUGAGGAGCGAAAGCGUGGGGAGCGAACAGG